GUCCACGCCGUAAACGAUGAGUGCUAAGUGUUGCGAGUCAAAUCGCAGUGCUGAAGUUAACGCAAUAAGCACUCCGCCUGGGGAGUACGACCGCAAGGUUGAAACUCAAACGAAUUGACGGGGACCCGCACAAGCGGUGGAGCAUGUGGUUUAAUUCGAAGCAACGCGAAGAACCUUACCAGGGUUUGACAUACCAAUGAUAUUUCUAGAGAUAGAGAGUUCCUUCGGGACAUUGGAUACAGGUGGUGCAUGGUUGUCGUCAGCUCGUGUCGUGAGAUGUUGGGUUAAGUCCCGCAACGAGCGCAACCCUUAUCGUUAGUUGCCAUCAUUAAGUUGGGUACUUUAACGAGACUGCCAGUGAUAAACUGGAGGAAGGCGGGGAUGAGGUCAAAUCAUCAUGCCCCUUAUACCCUGGGCUACACACGUGCUACAAUGGUCGGUACAAAGAGAAGCGAAGCUGUGAAGUGAAGCAAACCUCAUAAAGCCGAUUUCAGUUCGGAUUGUAGUCUGCAACUCGACUACAUGAAGAUGGAAUCGCUAGUAAUCGUGGAUCAGCAUGCCACGGUGAAUACGUUCCCGGGUCUUGUACACACCGCCCGUCACACCACGAGAGUUUAUAACACCCGAAGUCAGUGGGCUAACCUCGCAAGAGGGGGCAGCUGCCUAAGGUGGGAUAGAUGAUUGGGGUGAAGUCGUAACAAGGUAACCGUA
rnacentral:rRNA from 1 species